rnacentral:lncRNA from 1 species
UCUGAGUUCUACACGAACAUCUCAGAGUCCGAGACAUCAAAAUCCACAUGAUCAAAAUCCAGAUCCAAGUUCAAAUCGCAACCCCCAAAAGGCGAAUUUGUGACCGAGUUUGGUGUUGAGUUGAUGAUGUCACUAAGAUCAGAAUCUGAAGUCUGCAAAUUGGGGUUAAAAUCACAGAAAAGGUUCUCUAACUUCUCUGUUUCAAUUGGCGUGGAGGCAAAGGAAAAGCAAGGGAACAAGCCUUCCUCUCCCCCUUUAUAACCCGCCUUAAAGCUAAACGCGCGAUCCAUACACUUUUUUUCUUCUUCUUCUUCUUCCUCUUCCUUCUUGGGCUUUUUGUCCAACGCUUUUGAUAGUUGAGUGGCCUGGAUGCAAGUAUGUCUUCCCCUAUAACUUACUUCAAACACCGAUGAAUCUUCAUCCGAUCGUUGUACUUGUUUUGUUGCUAAACACCCUUGAACGUUUCGAUGAGUGCAUCGUGAUUAGGGGAAUAUGAAUCUGCUGCAGCAGGUGCUUCAUCAAAAGGGUUGUUGAGCAUAGAAAGUGCUUUCUCAUAGGAAGAAAGUAUCCUUUCAACAAGAAACUCACAGCUUUGAGCAGCUGAUAAGGUUUGAUCAAGAUGGCCUUUAAGUUGGUUAGCUAGAUCUCUGCCUUGAGUUAGCUCAUUCAUCAAAGGCCUUCUUUCCAUUUGGUUAGGAAGUGAAUGUGUGCAAGUGAUGUUGAUCUUCCUUUGGUUUUAUUGUUAUUGCAAAGCACAAAUGGACAAUAAGCAUAUAUCUAAAGUUGAGCUUUUUUUUUUUUUUUUUUUUUUAAUAUGGAAUUAAGUAGUCAGAUUGGAUUGGUUGGAUGGGUAUAUAUGGUUGGUUGGUUGGAAGAGGAAGUUGUUGUAUUUGUAAAAUGAGGGCUGGGAGGGAAAGAGAGAAGUAUGUAAAGUGAAGGUGAAGAUGAAGGUGAAUGUGAAGGUGGGAGGAAAGAGAGGAGAUGGAGAUAUUUAUAUUAUAAUAUAGUCAGUCAGUCAGUCAUAUAAGGAGUAUGAAGGGAGCCCCAACAUUAUUUUGACUCUUUCAGAAUACAACUUCAUGUGCUUUUGUUAUAAAGUU